rnacentral:rRNA from 1 species
CCUGGCUCAGAACGAACGCUGGCGGCAGGCUUAACACAUGCAAGUCGAGCGCCCCGCAAGGGGAGCGGCAGACGGGUGAGUAACGCGUGGGAAUCUACCCAUCUCUACGGAAUAACGCAUGGAAACGUGUGCUAAUACCGUAUACGUCCUUCGGGAGAAAGAUUUAUCGGAGAUGGAUGAGCCCGCGUUGGAUUAGCUAGUUGGUGGGGUAAAGGCCUACCAAGGCGACGAUCCAUAGCUGGUCUGAGAGGAUGAUCAGCCACACUGGGACUGAGACACGGCCCAGACUCCUACGGGAGGCAGCAGUGGGGAAUAUUGGACAAUGGGCGCAAGCCUGAUCCAGCCAUGCCGCGUGAGUGAUGAAGGCCCUAGGGUUGUAAAGCUCUUUCACCGGUGAAGAUAAUGACGGUAACCGGAGAAGAAGCCCCGGCUAACUUCGUGCCAGCAGCCGCGGUAAUACGAAGGGGGCUAGCGUUGUUCGGAUUUACUGGGCGUAAAGCGCACGUAGGCGGACUAUUAAGUCAGGGGUGAAAUCCCGGGGCUCAACCCCGGAACUGCCUUUGAUACUGGUAGUCUUGAGUUCGAGAGAGGUGAGUGGAAUUCCGAGUGUAGAGGUGAAAUUCGUAGAUAUUCGGAGGAACACCAGUGGCGAAGGCGGCUCACUGGCUCGAUACUGACGCUGAGGUGCG